rnacentral:rRNA from 1 species
UUGAACGCUGGCGGCAGGCCUAACACAUGCAAGUCGAGCGGUUGAGAGUAGCUUGCUACUUGAUGCAGCGGCGGACGGGUGAGUAACGCGUGGGAAUCUGCCCAGUAGUGGGGGACAACAGCCGGAAACGGCUGCUAAUACCGCAUACGCCCUACGGGGGAAAGGGGGGGAUCUUCGGACCUCUCGCUAUUGGAUGAGCCCGCGUCGGAUUAGCUAGUUGGUAGGGUAAAGGCCCACCAAGGCUACGAUCCGUAACUGGUCUGAGAGGAUGAUCAGACACACUGGAACUGAGACACGGUCCAGACUCCUACGGGAGGCAGCAGUGGGGAAUAUUGGACAAUGGGGGAAACCCUGAUCCAGCCAUGCCGCGUGUGUGAAGAAGGCCUUAGGGUUGUAAAGCACUUUCAGUGGGGAGAAAGGUUUGUCACCUAAUACGUGAUGAAAUUGAUGUUACCCACAGAAGAAGCACCGGCUAACUCCGUGCCAGCCGCCGCCGUAACAC